rnacentral:rRNA from 1 species
AUUGAACGCUGGCGGCAUGCUUUACACAUGCAAGUCGAACGGUAACAGCACUUCGGUGGCUGACGAGUGGCGAACGGGUGAGUAAUACAUCGGAACGUGCCUAGUAGUGGGGGAUAACUACUCGAAAGAGUAGCUAAUACCGCAUGAGAUCUAAGGAUGAAAGCAGGGGACCUUCGGGCCUUGCGCUACUAGAGCGGCUGAUGGCAGAUUAGGUAGUUGGUGGGAUAAAGGCUUACCAAGCCGACGAUCUGUAGCUGGUCUGAGAGGACGACCAGCCACACUGGGACUGAGACACGGCCCAGACUCCUACGGGAGGCAGCAGUGGGGAAUAUUGGACAAUGGGCGCAAGCCUGAUCCAGCAAUGCCGCGUGCAGGAUGAAGGCCUUCGGGUUGUAAACUGCUUUUGUACGGAACGAAAAGCCCUCUUCUAAUACAGGAGGGUCAUGACGGUACCGUAAGAAUAAGCACCGGCUAACUACGUG